rnacentral:snRNA from 1 species
GUACUCGCUUCGGCGGUACAUAUACUAAAAUUGGAACGAUACAGAGAAGAUUAGCAUGGCCCCUGCGCAAGGAUAACA